UACGAAGGGGGCUAGCGUUGUUCGGAAUCACUGGGCGUAAAGCGCACGUCGGCCGAUUGGUCAGUUGGGGGUGAAAUCCCGGGGCUUAACCUCGGAACUGCCUUCAAUACUGCCAGUCUCGAGUCCGGAAGAGGUGAGUGGAAUUCCUAGUGUAGAGGUGAAAUUCGUAGAUAUUAGGAAGAACACCAGUGGCGAAGGCGGCUCACUGGUCCGGUACUGACGCUGAGGUGCGAAAGCGUGUGGAGCAAACAGG
rnacentral:rRNA from 1 species